AUACGGAGGAUGCGAGCGUUAUCCGGAUUUAUUGGGUUUAAAGGGUGCGUAGGUGGUAGAUUAAGUCAGCGGUGAAAGUUUGUCGCUCAACGAUAAAAUUGCCGUUGAUACUGGUUUACUUGAGUAUAGUUGAAGUAGGCGGAAUGCGCGGUGUAGCGGUGAAAUGCAUAGAUAUCACGCAGAACUCCGAUUGCGAAGGCAGCUUACUAAGUUAUAUCUGACACUGAAGCACGAAAGCGUGGGUAUCAAACAGGAUUAGAUACCCUGGUAGUCCACGCAGUAAACGAUGAUUACUUGUUUUCGGCGAUAUAAUGUCGGAGGCAAAGCGAAAGCGAUAAGUAUUCCACCUGGGGAGUACGCCGGCAACGGUGAAACUCAAAGGAAUUGGCGGGG
rnacentral:rRNA from 1 species